rnacentral:rRNA from 2 species
GCUUACCACGGUAGGAUUCGUGACUGGGGUGAAGUCGUAACAAGGUAGCCGUAUCGGAAGGUGCGGCUGGAUCACCUCCUUUCUAGA